ACGUAGGGGGCUAGCGUUAUCCGGAAUUACUGGGCGUAAAGGGUGCGUAGGUGGUUUCUUAAGUCAGAGGUGAAAGGCUACGGCUCAACCGUAGUAAGCCUUUGAAACUGGGAAACUUGAGUACAGGAGAGGAGAGUGGAAUUCCUAGUGUAGCGGUGAAAUGCGUAGAUAUUAGGAGGAACACCAGUUGCGAAGGCGGCUCUCUGGACUGUAACUGACACUGAGGCACGAAAGCGUGGGGAGCAAACAG
rnacentral:rRNA from 1 species